UACGUAGGGGGCAAGCGUUGUCCGGAAUCAUUGGGCGUACAGAGCGUGUUGGCGGCCCGAUAAGUCCGCUGUGAAAGUCCAGGGCUCAACCCUGGGAUGCCGGUGGAUACUGUCGGGCUCGAGUCCGGAAGAGGAGUGUGGAAUUCCUGGUGUAGCGGUGAAAUGCGCAGAUAUCAGGAGGAACACCAAUGGCGAAGGCAGCACUCUGGGACGUGACUGACGCUGAGGUGCGAAAGCGUGGGGAGCAAACAGG
rnacentral:rRNA from 1 species